rnacentral:rRNA from 1 species
GACGAACGCUGGCGGCGUGCCUAAUACAUGCAAGUAGAACGCACAGUUUAUACCGUAGCUUGCUACACCAUAGACUGUGAGUUGCGAACGGGUGAGUAACGCGUAGGUAACCUGCCUGGUAGCGGGGGAUAACUAUUGGAAACGAUAGCUAAUACCGCAUAAUAUUGAUUAUUGCAUGAUAAUUGAUUGAAAGAUGCUAUUGCAUCACUACCAGAUGGACCUGCGUUGUAUUAGCUAGUAGGUGAGGUAACGGCUCACCUAGGCGCCGAUACAUAGCCGACCUGAGAGGGUGAUCGGCCACACUGGGACGGAGACACGGCCCAGACUCCUACGGGAGGCAGCAGUAGGGAAUCUUCGGCAAGGGACGAAAGUCUGACCGAGCAACGCCGCGUGAGUGAAGAAGGUUUUCGGAUCGUAAAGCUCUGUUGUAAGAGAAGAACGGGUGUGAGAGUGGAAAGUUCACACUGUGACGGUAUCUGACCAGAAAGGGACGGCUAACUACGUG